UUAAUUACAAAAUUAAAAAUCCCAGGCUGCAGUUGAGGCUCCUCCUACAGUAGCUGAUAGGUCACAAAAACUGAACAUUCUAUCGAGGCUACAAGGGUUCAUGAAACAUUCACUAUGAUCACAAGAUUGCCAGUUUGAAUCCUGAUCAUGCAGCUUGCCAUCAGCUGCUGGAGCACAGUAGGUCUUGCUCUCUCUGGGUGGGUACAGUACAGUAGAUGGAGCUCUUUCCCCUCAUCACUCCNAGAUGUACGCUACAGUAGGAGAGUUAGUGAGUGUGGGUGAGAGAGGUAAACUCUACACAGUAAAAUGAUGUACAGAAACCAUAACCAACUUAAUUUAAUACUUUAAAGGGGGAGGAGCCAGAGCCACCAUCCCGCCCACCGUUACCUCAUGAGCUGCAAAGCACCAAUCAUGGCACAGAGUUGAGGCCUGGGUGGGCAGAGCCAGGUAGUAAUUCUCUGUACUGCAGUACUCCAAUAGACCCAAUGAACUACAGUUCCCCCCCAACACACAGAGACCCCAACCUGUCCUCAGAUGAUCACUCUCACUGUGGGUGGGCGGAGUCUGGCCCUCCAAUAAAGGUACCCGAUCCAAACUUUUUAUGUGGAGCCAACAUUAAACAAAUAAAAAAUCAGAUUCCCAGUCACACAAUGGCUCAUUGCUACCUUACACCCCACCAACAGUCUAUUUUCACUCAUCAUUUAAACAGCAGCAGAUCUUCUGAAUAUAUCUACACUGAUGGGCGUGGUGUUCUGGAAAUGAGGUGUGUUCAGGUACAUUUCUGG
rnacentral:lncRNA from 1 species